rnacentral:misc_RNA from 1 species
GAUGAAGAACGUAGCGAAAUGCGAUACUUGGUGUGAAUUGCAGAAUCCCGUGAACCAUCGAGUCUUUGAACGCAAGUUGCGCCCGAAGCCAUCAGGUUGAGGGCACGUCUGCCUGGGCGUCACAUAUCGUUGCCCAAUGCCUAUUGCAGUGCAAUAGGAAUUUCUAGGGCGAAUGAUGGCUUCCCGUGAGCGUUGUUGCCUCGCGGUUGGUUGAAAAUCGAGUCCUUGGUAGGGUGUGCCAUGGUAGAUGGUGGUCGAGUUAGAACGAUACCGAUCAUGUGCAUGCUCCCCAAAAUAUGGCCUCUAUGACCCACACGCGUCUUUUGACGCUCAUGACGAGACCUCAGGUCAGGCGGGGCUACCCGCUGAAUUUAAGCAUAUCAAUAAGCGGGGGA